rnacentral:rRNA from 1 species
CGAAAGCCUGACGGAGCAACGCCGCGUGUGGGAAGAAGGCUCUUGGGCUGUCAACCACUUUUCUCAGGGAAGAAGACCUGACGGUACCUGAGGAAUCAGCCUCGGCUAACUCCGUGCCAGCAGCCGCGGUAAUACGGAGGAGGCAAGCGUUAUCCGGAAUUAUUGGGCGUAAAGCGUCCGCAGGGGGCUCAUCAAGUCUGCUGUCAAAGCCCGGGGCUCAACCCCGACGCGGCAGUGGAAACUGGGAGGCUAGAGUACGGCAGGGGUAGAGGGAAUUCCCAGUGUAGCGGUGAAAUGCGUAGAUAUUGGGAAGAACACCGGUGGCGAAAGCGCUCUACUGGGUCGCGCCUGACCCUCAGGGACGAAAGCUAAGGUAGCG